rnacentral:lncRNA from 1 species
GGGCACUUUUUGGCCCCUUUUUUUGAUUUUAUUUUCUGAUUUUUUGGGCAUUUUUUUUCCCCCUUUUUUUUUUUUUGAUUUUUGGGGCAUUUUUUCGUGUUUUUUUUUAUUUUUUUGGCCUUUUUGUGCCCUUUUUUUUUUGAUUUUUGAGCUUUCUUCGUACAUUUUUCUUGAUUUUUUGGGCUUUUUUUUGCCCCUUUUCCUUGAUUUGCUUUUUACUUUAUUGGGCAUUUUUUUGCCAUUUUUCUUGAUUUUUUAAAAAAUUUUUUGGGCAUUUUUACCCCUUUUUUCUUGAUUUUUUUCCCUUAUUUUCCCCCUUUUUCCUAAUUUUUUUUUUAAUUUUUCCCCCUUUUUUUCCCCCUUUUCCCCAACAUUUUUUUUCCUGCCUUCCCCCCCAUAUUUUUUACCCCUUUCCUGCCUUUUUUCAACCCAAAACUCCCGGGAGUUGCCAAAGUUUUUUCAACACCUGCAGCACAAAAGGCAGAAUUCGUUAAAAGCACAACACAACCCCCCCCUCUCCCCCCCAUACUCACCUCCAAACUGCCCCAAAAAGCAGCUUUUUCCCCCCAAAAAUCCGAAUUCUCGAGGCUUUCACUCACACACACCAACCCAAACCACAAUAUUCUCAUUUUUCCACCAGUUUUCCACCAUUCUUGGACCAUUUUUAACCAAUAAACCGAUUUUUUUGGUGAUUUUAAGCACCCAGGACUUGCCAUUUUUGACUCCAGGUUGCCCAAAGCGGCGCCUUUUGGCCCCAAAACCGACACCACCCAUUUUUUGGGGGUUUUAUUUUCUUUCUGCAGUGACCUCAAAAUGCACCUUUCGGCCUCUUUUUUGGGGUUUUUUUUUUGGCCUUUUGUUUCCUGCCGGGACCAGAGGCUGGAGGGGACCUUUGGCACCUUUAAAUCACUUUAUUUUUCCUUUAAAUUUCUUAUUUUCAAUCAUUUCUUUCCAUUUUAACCCUUUCAAUCAUUUAAGGAUUUCCACUCUUCUUUUACCUCAGUGGUUUUUUCACCCAAAUACCUUUUUUUUAACCUAAAAACCACUUUUUUUAAUCCAAAAUACCUUUUUUUUAACCUAAAAACCACUUUUUUUCACCCAAAUACCUUUUUUUUAACCUAAAAACCACUUUUUUUCACCCAAAUACCUUUUUUUUAACCUAAAAACCACUUUUUUUUACCAAAAUACCUUUUUUUUACCCAAAUACCUUUUUUUUAACCUAAAAACCACUCUUUUUUCACCCAAAUACCUUUUUUUAACCUAAAAACCACUUUUUUUUACCAAAAUACCUUUUUUUUAACCUAAACCCCACUUUUUUUUACCCAAAUACCUCUUUUUUAACCUAAAAACCACUUUUUUUUACCCAAAUACCUUUUUUUUUAACCUAAAAACCACUUUUUUUUACCAAAAUACCUUUUUUUUACCCAAAUACCUUUUUUUUUAACCUAAAAACCACUUUUUUUUUUUACCAAAAUACCUUUUUUUUACCCAAAUACCUUUUUUUUUAACCUAAAAACCAUUUUUUUACCCAAAUACCUUUUUUUUUAACCUAAAAACCACUUUUUUUCACCCAAAUACCUUUUUUUUAACCUAAAAACCACUUUUUUUUCACCCAAAUACCUUUUUUUUAACCUAAAAUCCACUUUUUUUCACCCAAAUACCUUUUUUUUAACCUAAAAACCACUUUUUUUCACCCAAAUACCUUUUUUUUAACCUAAAAACCACUUUUUUUUACCCAAAUACCUUUUUUUUAACCUAAAAACCACCUUUUUUUACCCAAACACCUCUUUUUUUAACUAAAAUCCACUUUUUUUUUCUUUACCCAAAAACCUUUGUUUUUACCUAAAAACCAAAGUUCUUUUUACCCAAAUCCAUCUUUUUUUCACCUAAAAUCCACCUUUUUUUUUACCUAAAAACCACCUUUUUUUUACCAAAAAACCACAGGUUUUUUUCACCUAAAAACCAAUGAUUUUUUUUACCCAAAUACCUUUUCUUUGACUAAAAAUCAAGGAUUUUUUACCCAAAUAUCACCUUUUUUU